rnacentral:tRNA from 1 species
GCCGGAGUGGUGAAACUGGUAUACACGCACGGUUCAGAGCCGUGUGGGCGCAAGCCCUUGGAGGUUCAAGUCCUCUCUCCGGCACCA